CUGCUCAGUAACACGUGGACAACCUACCCUUGGGUCUGGCAUAAUCCUGGGAAACUGGGGAUAAUUCCGGAUAGGCCACAGAUGCUGGAAUGCGCUGUGGCCGAAAGCUCCGGCGCCCAAGGAUGGGUCUGCGGCCUAUCAGGGUUGUAGUGGGUGUAAUGUACCUACUAGCCUACGACGGGUACGGGUUGUGAGAGCAAGAGCCCGGAGAUGGAUUCUGAGACACGAAUCCAGGCCCUACGGGGUGCAGCAGGCGCGAAAACUUUACAAUGCGGGAAACCGUGAUAAGGGGACACCGAGUGCCAGCAUCAUAUGCUGGCUGUCCGGAUGUGUAAAAUACAUCCGUUAGCAAGGGCCGGGCAAGACCGGUGCCAGCCGCCGCGGUAACACCGGCGGCCCGAGUGGUGAUCGUGAUUAUUGGGUCUAAAGGGUCCGUAGCCGGUUUGGUCAGUCCUCCGGGAAAUCUGAUAGCUCAACUGUCAGGCUGCUAGGGGAUACUGUUUGGCUUGGAACCGGGAGAGGUAAGACGUACUUCGGGGGUAGGAGUGAAAUCUUGUGAUCCUCGAGGGACCACCAGUGGCGAAGGCGUCUCACCAGAACGGGUCCGACGGUAAGGGACGAAAGCUAGGGGCACGAACCGGAUUAGAUACCCGGGUAGUCCUAGCCGUAAACGAUGCUCGCUAGGUGUCAGUCACGGUGCGACCGUGAUUGGUGCCGUAGGGAAGCCGUGAAGCGAGCCACCUGGGAAGUAUGGCCGCAAGGCUGAAACUUAA
rnacentral:rRNA from 1 species